UGGGGAAUUUUGGACAAUGGACGCAAGUCUGAUCCAGCCAUGCCGCGUGCGGGAAGAAGGCCUUCGGGUUGUAAACCGCUUUUGUCAGGGAAGAAACGAGUUUCUCUAAUACAGAGACUUAAUGACGGUACCUGAAGAAUAAGCACCGGCUAACUACGUGCCAGCAGCCGCGGUAAUACGUAGGGUGCGAGCGUUAAUCGGAAUUACUGGGCGUAAAGCGUGCGCAGGCGGUUAUGUAAGACAGAUGUGAAAUCCCCGGGCUCAACCUGGGAACUGCAUUUGUGGCUGUAUAGCUAGAGUACGGCAGAGGGGGAUGGAAUUCCGCGUGUAGCAGUGAAAUGCGUAGAUAUGCGGAGGAACACCGAUGGCGAAGGCAAUCCCCUGGGCCUGUACUGACGCUCAUGCACGAAAGCGUGGGGAGCAAACA
rnacentral:rRNA from 1 species